rnacentral:rRNA from 1 species
AGUGAACGCUGGCGGUAGGCCUAACACAUGCAAGUCGAACGGCAGCACAGUAAGAGCUUGCUCUUACGGGUGGCGAGUGGCGGACGGGUGAGGAAUACAUCGGAAUCUACUUUUUCGUGGGGGAUAACGUAGGGAAACUUACGCUAAUACCGCAUACGACCUACGGGUGAAAGCAGGGGAUCUUCGGACCUUGCGCGAUUGAAUGAGCCGAUGUCGGAUUAGCUAGUUGGCGGGGUAAAGGCCCACCAAGGCGACGAUCCGUAGCUGGUCUGAGAGGAUGAUCAGCCACACUGGAACUGAGCCGCGGUCCAGACUCCUACGGGAGGCAGCAGUGGGGAAUAUUGGACAAUGGGCGCAAGCCUGAUCCAGCCAUACCGCGUGGGUGAAGAAGGCCUUCGGGUUGUAAAGCCCUUUUGUUGGGAAAGAAAAGCAGCAGGUUAAUACCCCGCUGUUCUGACGGUACCCAAAGAAUAAGCACCGGCUAACUUCGUG